GACACAACUAAAUGCAGGUGGAAGGAAGGUGUGUGUCUGUGAGCCCUGCAGGGCUGUGUCUGUGUGUCUGUGAGCCCUGCAGGGCUGUGUGUGUGUCUGUCUGUGUCUGUGUGUCUGUGAGCCCUGCAGGGCAGUGUGUGUUUGAGAGCCCUGCAGGGCUCUGUGUGUGUUUGUGCCAUUGCUGUGCUUGUGCUGGCUCCCUGCCUGCUGGGGCUCCUUCCCUCCCCGC
rnacentral:lncRNA from 12 species